CGCAGCCACAGAGACGCGCCGCCGCCCCGCCCCGCCGCCCCUACCCUAGGCAGCGGCAGCCUCCUCCGCUCUCCCCCGCUUGCCCACGUGCAUGCAGGCGCUCCUCAGUGCGCGCGCGGACGGCAGCGUGCAGGAGCCCCGCAGCAUCGCAGGCGCCAGACAGCAGCGGCAACACUCGUUGGCUGCAGUGCUUUGGUUGGCUGGCAGAAGCGGAGGCGCCGGCCGUCCGGAGCUAGGGUUCGGCUCGCUCACACAGGCGCACGCCGCCACGCGCCCCGUGCCGGAGGGAGGAGGUCGCAACCAGUCGCCGCAUCCAGCGCAUCGGCCGUUGGAGCCUUGGAGGGACGCCGAGAUUUAGAAAUGAAGAGAAAGACUACGAACAUGCAUGAUUUUUAUGCAAGCAGUUCAGUUACUCCUCCCCCUGCCAAUGUUGAACCUAAACUUGCCCCAGCUAAUGUGACUGCAAAUCCCCUCCCCUUAGUUGCUGUGAGCACAAUGCCUCCUGGCUGAACCCCCAAAUGAGGAGAUCAAUGGUACCACAUCUGAUGAGAGUACAAACCGACCAAGGCAGCGCAUAUUAGAAUUCCAUCCAAGUCAAGUUAUUAAGAAUUGCAUUGGAGAUAAGAACUUCUCAAUCCUUAUUGAUGAGGCUAGAUAUUGCUGAGUAGAAGAGCAAAUGGCAGUGACUGUGAGAUUUCUUGAUGACCAUGGGGAGCUUCAGGAAAGGUUCCUUGCAACUAAGCACAUCAACGAUUGUACAUCUGCUGGAAUUAAAGAAGCUUCGGUUGAUGUGUUGGAUUAUCAUGGUUUGCAGAUUUCUAGGCUACGUGGACAGGGUUAUGAUGGGGCUUCAAAUAUGAGAGGAGAAUUCAAUGGUUUGCAAAAAUUGGUUAGAGAUGAAGCUCCAUAUGCAUUUUAUGUUCAUUACUUUGCUUACCAGUUGCUGUUGGUGGUUGUCAAUGUUGCUCAAUGUAGUCCUGCUAUUGCUGAUUUCUUCAACUAUAUCCCACUUAUAGUGACUCAAGUGCGUUCAUCUUGCAAGAGGAAAGAUGCAUUACUGGCCAAACAUCAAGACGAAUUGUUAGAUUUGAUGGAGAAUGGAAAGAUUUCAUCCGGAACCUGGUUGGAUCAAGAAUCUAGCCUAACAAGACAAGGAGAUACUCGUUGGGGCUCACAUCUUAGAACCUUGCUUCGCAUAUUCACAAUGUGGAAUGCUGUGGUGGAUGUGCUAGGAAUUGUAGUGGUUGAUGCUCGGGAACACGCUUGUCAAGGUGGAGCUUCAGGUUUGCUUAUUAAGAUGGAAUGCUUUGAAUUUGUGGUCAUCAUGUUUUUCUCAAUAAACUUGUUCAACACCACAAAUUAUCUAUCACAAGCUUUGCAAAGAAAGCCAUGCAUUUGAUCUUAGAUGUGAAAGAAUGCUUGCAAGACAUGAGGGACAAUGGGUGGGAGUCUUUAUUCAGCCAAGCCAAGAGCUUUUGUGAGGCACAUGACAUUGAUGUGCCAAAUAUGGAUGAUCUUGUUGGAGCUAUGGGUCAAUCCGUUCGCACUAAGAAUAAGGUGACUCGACUUCACUAUUACAAGGUUAGCAUAUUCAAUGUUGCCAUUGAUGCAACUAUCACUGAGAUGAAUCAUCGAUUCACUGAAGUUUCCACCGAGUUUAUUGGAUUGUAUGUCUUGUCUUAAUCAGCAAACAACUUCUCAAAGUUUAAUGUUGACAAACUAAUUCGGCUUGCUGAAAUUUAUGCUGAGGACUUUACAAAAGCUGACCGGUUGUUGCUAAGAUUUGACCUUCCAAGAUUCCUUAUGAACAUUAGGAGAAGUGAGGAAUUUAAUGGAUGCCGAGAUAUGUCCACACUUGCUCGAUUGAUGGUUCAAACAAGGAAACACACAUCUUUCUGGUUGGUAUAUCGCCUCAUUGAGUUGGCGCUGAUUCUUCCUAAUCCUAUGGCAACUGCACCAGUUGAGUGAAUAUUUUCGGUAAUGAAGAUCAUCGAGACAGAUUUGCACAAUGAGGUAUCAAAUGAGUGUCUAAAUGAUUUAAUGGCGUGCUACUGCGAUAAAGAGAUAUUCAGAAGCAAUGAAGCAUUCAUGAUGAUCAAAUCAUGAUAGAAUUCCAGAAAAUGAGGGAUCAUAAAGGACAUUUGCCUCAUGAGUUUAAUGUGAUUUAGAGGUAUAUGUCAGUUUUGGUAGUGUUAAUAGUCAACCGUGGACGCCUUGCUAUUAUACCACUAAAAAUUGUGUUAAAUUGGAGUAUUGGACAGAUGGCUUGCGUCUGGUCACUUGGGCAUACAUUUCUAUAUUAUGUUUUGGAGGGGUUCUACCAUAGCAUUAGUAAGAAACAACACCAUAUCAUUGUUUUGGUCUUUUAAUUGUUGCUUCUCUACUACUUGAUGUAUUGUGUGUAAACUGUAUGAAACUUUGUGGUAUGGUCAAAUAUGUUACUAGUAUUGG